rnacentral:rRNA from 1 species
GGGGUCUUUAAAUAACGUAAUUUCCUGCCCAGUGACAAUAGUUCAACGGCCGCGGUAUCCUAACCGUGCAAAGGUAGCAUAAUCACUUGCCUAUUAAUUGUAGGCUAGAAUGAACGGAUAAACGAAAUAAACCCUGUCUCAAUUAGCAACCUAAAAAUUAUUCUCCAUACGAAGAAAUAUGGAUAAAAUCGAAGGACAAGAAGACCCUAUAGAGCUUUAUUUAAAUCAUAAAUUCCAUCUAAUGUAAAAAUUCGGUUGGGGCGACCUAGGGAGUUACUAAUCACCCUAUAAUACAAAGAUAAAUUAAUCAUAUACCUGACCCUUAUAAGAUCACAAAAUCUAGCUACCUUAGGGAUAACAGGCUACUCUCAUUUAAGAGUUUAUAUCAAAGGGGG